rnacentral:misc_RNA from 1 species
GAUGAAGAACGCAGCGAAAUGCGAUACGUAAUGUGAAUUGCAGAAUUCAGUGAAUCAUCGAAUCUUUGAACGCAUAUUGCGCUCUUUGGUAUUCCGAAGAGCAUGCUUGUUUGAGUAUCAGUAAACACCUCAAAGCUUUUGGAUUUUUUAAUCGAAAAGCUUUGGACUUGAGCAAUCCCAACACCAAUCUUUUUGAGAUCGGUGGCGGGUUGCUUGAAAUGCAGGUGCAGCUGGACAUUCUCCUGAGCUAAAAGCAUAUUCAUUUAGUCCCGUCAAACGGAUUAUUACUUUUGCUGCAGCUAACAUAAAGGGAGUUUGACCGUAUUGGCUGACUGAUGCAGGAUUUCACAAGGGUCGGCAACGAUUCUUGUUAAACUCGAUCUCAAAUCAAGUAAGACUACCCGCUGAACUUAAGCAUAUCAAUAAGCGGAGA